rnacentral:rRNA from 1 species
GAUGAACGCUGGCUACAGGCUUAACACAUGCAAGUCGAGGGGAAACGACGGGGAAGCUUGCUUCCCCGGGCGUCGACCGGCGCACGGGUGAGUAACGCGUAUCCAACCUGCCUCUGACUGAGGGAUAACCCGUCGAAAGUCGGCCUAAUACCUCAUGGCAUCGUCUGCGGGCAUCCAACGACGAUUAAAGAUUUCAUCGGUCAGAGAUGGGGAUGCGUCUGAUUAGCUUGUUGGCGGGGUAACGGCCCACCAAGGCGACGAUCAGUAGGGGUUCUGAGAGGAAGGGCCCCCACAUUGGAACUGAGACACGGUCCAAACUCCUACGGGAGGCAGCAGUGAGGAAUAUUGGUCAAUGGGCGAGAGCCUGAACCAGCCAAGUAGCGUGCAGGAUGACGGCCCUAUGGGUUGUAAACUGCUUUUAUGCGGGGAUAAAGUGAGGGACGUGUCCUUCAUUGCAGGUACCGCAUGAAUAAGGACCGGCUAAUUCCGUG